rnacentral:rRNA from 1 species
AACGCUAGCUACAGGCUUAACACAUGCAAGUCGAGGGGAAACGAUAGAGAAAGCUUGCUUUUUCUAGGCGUCGACCGGCGCACGGGUGAGUAACGCGUAUCCAACCUGCCCACCACUUGGGGAUAACCUUGCGAAAGUAAGACUAAUACCCAAUGACGUCUCUAGAAGACAUCUGAAAGGGAUUAAAGAUUUAUCGGUGAUGGAUGGGGAUGCGUCUGAUUAGCUUGUUGGCGGGGUAACGGCCCACCAAGGCAACGAUCAGUAGGGGUUCUGAGAGGAAGGUCCCCCACAUUGGAACUGAGACACGGUCCAAACUCCUACGGGAGGCAGCAGUGAGGAAUAUUGGUCAAUGGGCGAGAGCCUGAACCAGCCAAGUAGCGUGCAGGAUGACGGCCCUAUGGGUUGUAAACUGCUUUUAUAAGGGGAUAAAGUGAGCCUCGUGAAGCUUUUUGCAUGUACCUUAUGAAUAAGGACCGGCUAAUUCCGUGCCAGCAGCCGCGGUAAUACGGAAGGUCCGGGCGUUAUCCGGAUUUAUUGGGUUUAAAGGGAGCGUAGGUUGACAUAUAAGUCAGCUGUGAAAGUUUACGGCUCAACCGUGAAAUUGCAGUUGAUACUGUAUGUCUUGAGUGUACAAGAGGUGGGCGGAAUUCGUGGUGUAGCGGUGAAAUGCUUAGAUAUCACGAAGAACUCCGAUUG